UGACCCAUCUCAUCAACUUUCAGUAAGUCAAUGCCUAUUACCAAACUCCACUAUGAGAACAAAGGAAGAGGAGUUCUGGAAUACGCAGGCUGUAACUUACAGCCAUUGUGAGGGGCGACGGGGGGCAAGGAGAACCACUGUGAGUCAAAGUGGGGCUGAAGAUUAUUUCCCAGUUAACGGUGCCGUUAGGGUAAAACACGUUUUUUAGCCUUCUCACUGGCGCAUCAGCAACCACAACAUUAUCCUUUCCCCCUCCAAUUCUCCAAACCCCCACUUUUCUCAGACCCAAAAUCACUUUUGUUCUUUCUCUCCUCUCACCACUCAAGACUUCACAACCAAACCAUUCCUUUUCCGCUCUUUAACCAAAAUCCACUCUUUGAACACAAAACGAUUCGUGGGUUUUCCGGGAAAGCACUUGGGUUUUUGUUUGAAAGGAAGUUAAGGGUUUUGUGAAUGCAAAGAGGAUGGCGUUGAUGAAGCUGAGAAGCCGUGCGUGCUGAACCCGUUGGAACCGUUAAAAGCCUUCCAAAAACCGAGAGCACAGCAGCCAAAACCCUAUUCUCUCUCUCCUCUCUCUGUGUUUUGCUUCCUUUCUCCAAAGGUCUUCGCUUUCUUAUGGUUUUGGGAUUUUGCUGCGCGCCCAAUUUCUCAAGUAAAAGACGGGUAAGAGGCAGGGAAGAUGGUUGCUGAUGUCAAUUCAUAUUUUGCAGUCAUCAAUUGAGCUUGAAACUUGCUUUAUCCUCUCUGACUUCUGCAAGAAAAACAGAGGCCAAUAUCGAGCCUAUUGAUAUGUUUUUAUACGUGAAAAAAUUGUAUGUAGUCUAUAAUUGAAAGAUGGGACAAUAUUGCUUUUUGGUAACUAGCUGAGUGUUGAGAAGCACUAUCGUAAGAAAUUAUGGAGUGGUGAAGAUACGACUGAAAACCCUAGAACCUGAGAACAGAGGAAGAAGACGAAGGAAGAGAGAGAGAGAGCUAAACGAUAUUGAGUAUUUCACUGGGUGUUUGUUACA